UGUGCCAGCAGCCGCGGUAAUACGAAGGGUGCAAGCGUUACUCGGAAUUACUGGGCGUAAAGCGUGCGUAGGUGGUUCGUUAAGUCUGAUGUGAAAGCCCUGGGCUCAACCUGGGAAUUGCAUUGGAAACUGGCGGGCUAGAGUACGGUAGAGGGUAGUGGAAUUCCUGGUGUAGCAGUGAAAUGCGUAGAGAUCAGGAGGAACAUCCGUGGCGAAGGCGACUACCUGGACCAGUACUGACACUGAGGCACGAAAGCGUGGGGAGCAAACAG
rnacentral:rRNA from 1 species